UAAUACAGAGGGUGCAAGCGUUAAUCGGAAUUACUGGGCGUAAAGGGCGCGUAGGUUGCUUUGUAAGUUGGAUGUGAAAUGUCCGGGCUUAACCUGGAACGGCCAUCCAAUACUGCAAAGCUAGAGUACAGUAGAGGGAAGGGGAAUUUCCGGUGUAGCGGUGAAAUGCGUAGAUAUCGGAAGGAACAUCAGUGGCGAAGGCGCCUUCCUGGACUGAUACUGACACUGAGGCGCGACAGCGUGGGGAGCGAACAGGAUUAGAUACCCUGGUAGUCCACGCCGUAAACGAUGAGAACUAGCUGUUGGACGCGAGAGCGUUUAGUAGCGCAGCAAACGCGAUAAGUUCUCCGCCUGGGGAGUACGGCCGCAAGGUUA
rnacentral:rRNA from 1 species